rnacentral:rRNA from 1 species
GACGAACGCUGGCGGCGUGCUUAACACAUGCAAGUCGAACGGAAAGGCCCUGCUUUUGUGGGGUGCUCGAGUGGCGAACGGGUGAGUAACACGUGAGUAACCUGCCCUUGACUUUGGGGUAACUUCAGGAAACUGGGGCUAAUACCGGAUAGGAGCUCCUGCUGCAUGGUGGGGGUUGGAAAGUUUCGGCGGUUGGGGAUGGACUCGCGGCUUAUCAGCUUGUUGGUGGGGUAGUGGCUUACCAAGGCUUUGACGGGUAGCCGGCCUGAGAGGGUGACCGGCCACAUUGGGACUGAGAUACGGCCCAGACUCCAACGGGAGGCAGCGGUGGGGAAUAUUGCACAAUGGGCGGAAGCCUGAUGCAGCAACGCCGCGUGCGGGAUGACGGCCUUCGGGUUGUAAACCGCUUUCGCCUGUGACGAAGCGUGAGUGACGGUAAUGGGUAAAGAAGCACCGGCUAACUACGUG